UUUACAGCCUGAAGCAGUUAUGGCUUUGGUGGAAAAUGCUUCACACGUAUUGACAAAAGAUUACACCAGCAUGUUGAUUAACUUUGUCUGGAUUAACUCUUUCACGGAUGGGGGUUUCAAUAAAGAUUUUAGUUUAAAAGCAUUCAAAACGCAAAUGUCGAAUAACAUGGUCAAGAGUGCAAGAGUGGACAAAUCAGUAGAAGCAGAUUUCAUAUCUGUUAGUUGUUUUGAUUGAAUGUUGCCUGGCAACCGAAAAAGAGAGGACGCCAUUCUUCCAAAUCCCAGAAUCAGGAACAUGCAGGUACGGUGUGUGAAGCGCUGAUGAAACUGUGCAAAAUAGAGUGCAGAGCAAAGCUGUCAUGUAAAUCUCCUAAAUCUUUACAUAACUCACGUUUUCUAUCGUGUGCAAAUUAGGCUCUAACCGUAACUAGCUAACUAGGUCAGCCUAUGCGUUAUUAUAGUAUACUAGCUACCACUUUUUAGCUUCGUCUAUUAGAUUUCCAGACAAAUAAAUCAUGAGACUGGGCAGACCAUUUUACAUUUUUACUUGCUUGGUAGGCUCACUUAUGAAUUGAGGGCAUCUGAGAGCACGAGUGGCCGCACAACUAGACCCCUAAUCUGAACAAAUGACAACUAUGGAAGAUAUGCAGUAUAUUUCAUAAGAAAUCCUGGUUGAAACGGAAAGACUACAUUAACCAAUAUGCUGCAAUUUCUAAUAGGACGACCACCCAGACACUUCCACACAUGUGACCUACUUGCUAGUUCCUGACCCACUUCUGUACUGCUGCCAGCCUGCUGAAUGCGAGUUCAUUCACCUCGUAUUUAAAGAGGAAAUGGACCUUCUUUUAAAGAUAUAGUCAGUUUCAUGCCAUAUAAUUAGUCACUACCGACUCAGAGCAAUGUGAAUGUGGAACCACUUCAUCUCUGAUGUGACAUCAAUUGCGGAACAUGCAGUCAUUGAGAAUGCGCACGCGUCCUCCUGUCCUACUCUCUCUUACCAUGUCGAUAGAGACACGUGAUAAACUGUGUAGGCUCCUGUUAUAUCUAUGACUGAGGAAAUGCCAUUCCAAAAACCAUCUAUAAGGAGACAACUGCAGCCAGGCGUCCACCUUGAAAACCUAGUCUGCAGGGCCUGAAUGGGUUAUGAGCAGGGUGGGAGAGCACACUAAUUCCUCACCUUACCUCACUGCAUCAUUAAAAAGAAACCUCCAAGAUUCUGAGAAAGCACACAUAGAGAACCACAUUUAACUGACGUGUGCAGGAAAUGGCAUCAUUUCGAAGAUGCUGAAGGGGGGUAGGUGAGGAAAUGAUGACACAGACAUUGACAUUCCCCUUACAAGGCCAAAGCCCUGACUGUACUGAAAGGGAAAGGAUGUCAUUUUAAAUUGUUAAGAUUUACUUAUACGAACUACAUUUAUUAUCAUUAUACAAGUGCAAUGAAAUUCAGUGUGCAGUUCAUUUUAUACAUUUAUACAUUUAUAAAAUAAGUAGAAAUUAAAAUAUGUAUAAUUUACAUAUAUUUUGCGCAACGUGCGAGUGGUAGUAGUGCAAGAGAAAGAGUACAGUAAAAGCAGCAUGGCAUGAUGCUGUAUUCAGAUCAGUGUAAACGGACUGAGCAGCAGUGUUAUGGAGUAUUUAAGUAAUCUAGUCGCCGAGCAUGAAUAGGUGUGUGAGUGUGAGUAAUCUAGUCGCCGAGCGCGAAUAGGUGUGUGAAUAUGUAUGCGUGUGAGGAUAGGUCCUACAGCAGUGUUGAGAAGGUGUUUAAUGGUCUUAUUGUUUGAAAAUGAAACAAAAACUCUUCCUGUUCUGUCCAACUAAGCAAUGUUGAGGUAGUCCAGGACAUGUUUAUUUAACCUGGAGGAACAGAUUCUCAGGAGAUGGCAAGUUUGAAUCCUAUGAUGCUAUCUGUGGCCAGGAGUCCAAGAGAGUGUAAUUGGCCGUGCUCUAUGGUUUGGGGGGGAUGGCAUUACACUAUCUCUCCCUGGUCAAUCACAGCUACACUAAACAACUAUGAGACUCUGUGAGCUCAUGUAUGUGGAAGUAGGUAGAUAUCGCUUUUCUCCGAGUGUGUUCAGCUGCCCUGUGUUCAAUUUCCGCCUGUUUUGGGGGUUCCCGUGAUCAGCACUGAAUUUAUUUGUGAUGUCAUGCUCCACAGUACUGGUUAAUGGCUCAUAUGAAAUUAGACACUCAGGGCUUUAAAAUGUAUUUCUUCUCCUUUUUACCUAGCCUACUAGGCUUCAAAUAUUAUAAUGUUGUUUUGGCAGUUGUACACAAUGUUUUACUAUCAACAAAGCUUUAUUUGCUGUCUGUUUUAUCUCUGCCCCAAUGUUAUUGCAGAGAGAGGUGUGAAUUGUUUGUGCAGAAAGGGGCUCACAUCCCUCACCGUUCCCAUCGCCCUGCUCGCAAGCAGCUAAACGCAGUGUCACGAUACUCUUCACACAGGAACCCAACAAUGUCCUGACUAAUCGUAUAACAGAUUUGCACCGAUAAAAUAAUUAGCGUGUUCAUACUGAUUGAAAAUGUCUGAUAAUUCACAAUUUCUCAAUUCUGACGGCGGAACGGAUCGCCAGUGUACUGCUAAAAAGGGCUGAUUUCUUGUUUAUAGGACUGUUGUAUAAAAGCAAUAUCACACUCGCAGUCAUGCUGUUGUACCGAAUAUCAGACUGGUCUUAAUUACCGGCGGUCGAAUAAAUAUUCCGUAGAACAGCACUCUUGUGCGAUAUUGCUUGAUUAAAUACUGUACAUUUUGUUCAUUUUUUCAAGUGUUGUGCAUUAAAUAUUACAAUGGUGGAUCAGACAAUAAAGAUAAGAUGGAGUGUGACAGGAAGCAUUGUGUCAGCUAUGGGAAAAAAACAUAUGUCUUUGUCUUCCCCUUGCCUGCAUGUGUGUGUAGCUGGCCAGCAGCAGGAAACCGGCAAGGUCGACCUGGGCUGGGUCCACCCGUGCAGUGAUGAAGGCCAAACUGCACUGUGCUUUAGAAACAAAUCAGUCCUCGUUAUGAAAUGUGUCACACUUUAAAAUUCUGUUCAACAACAACAACAAAAACUCUGGGUUAUUUAAUAUUGGCCAGACCGGACACUCUCAUGUGCAGCUCUCAUACAAUGGCAUGAGAUCACUGGCAGCUCAUUUACUGCCAAGCAGCAGAGGAAAAUCAGUUUGCACUGUGGAGCCGUGUGUGUGUGUGUGUGUGUGUGUCUGACAGAGUUAAAUAAAGACUUUCAGAAUCCCAGUCUGCAUGAGAGAGGAGAGAGGACGAACGAGUCUCUCCAUUACUCUCAUUCUGCCCGAUACAUACUCGUAUACAUACUCGUCAUUCAUCUAAAUGCAACCGGAACCUGAGAUGACUAAGCAUGCUUAAACCACAUCCAGUCAGUGGAAAUAUGAAAGAAAUGUUCAUUUCUUCCUAUUUCCUGAUCUACAGAUAUGUAUCUUUAUACUUGCAUGUGUAUGUAUGUGCAUAUCUAUCAAAACAUCCAUCUAAUUAUUGUAAAUUGUAGGUACAAAAUAACUCGCUGUAGCCCAUUCACUUGGACACGGAUCUUUCUCAGUGCAAUGACACUGACACUGACGCUGAUGCAGAAAGGGGUUUAAACACUGUUCACUUUAAUAAACACUUUCACUGAAGGAGUCUCCAGGGUCAGCCUGUUGUAUUGGGCAGUACGUUUUCCACCCUGGGAAAGUGUUCCGGACUUUCUGGUUUCUUGGUGACAUGAUAAUCUCUUAUUAACUUCAAGAGAGAGACAAAGAAAGGCUGCUGAAGGAAAGACUGUUUAUAGCUGCUAUAACGUAAGUCAUAACGGGAACUAACUUGUCUCACAGAUGUUCUGCAAGUAUAAAUGGUUCAAAAGUAUGAUGUGUUAGUCAUUAAUACAUGUAAAAUUGUAAUCAUUGACAAGUCACUGUGCUAUAAGAGGAAUAAAACACUUUGGGAUGUGCUGUAAUAGGAAAUUAAUACAUUUUGGAGCAGGAACAGCAAAAUUGUCUAUAGUCUGAGUGUUGGGUUAGCACCCCACCUUGUGCCCCUAAUUCCCUGGGAUAGGCUCCAGGCUCUCCCAAGACCCUGUGUAGGAUAAGCGGUAUGGAAGAUGGAUAUAUGGACAGUUGUUUAAGUUCAUUUAUGGAGGAAAUCUUCUUGUUUCAGUGUAUCUAUGAGCUAUAUGAAGAACUGAAGGCCCUGAAUGAGCACUAGAGAUUUUCAGCUACAGCCAGAGAGAGGAAAAAAACAAACAGCAGGACCACAGUCAUGUAACUCUAUUCACGAUCUAUAUAUGAAUCUGUCCAGGGGACGGUUAAUGUCAGUCCACACAGACUGUGGUGUGACUGAACAGUGCACUGUGAUUGGAUGAAUAGGGGGAGGUGCCGUUCAAGCCCCUGCUUAUGAGAGACAGCUGCUCGUGUCCAGAGCCACCUUUCCACCUGACACCGCUGAGUAAGUGUGGACUCUACAGAUAGACACAGACAGGUGUUUAGAGGGCUUAAGGACUCAACAGAGGUCAGUCACAUGGACUCACACACACACGUGUUGACUAAGUGGAUUUCUCACGCUAGAGCUCCUGAUGCAGCUGAAUAACACCGGUUGGUCAGCAUUUUGCUGGCAAAACACUCCUUCAGCCUUCAUCAGCGUGACAGAGCUACUGGACCUGUUUUUUUCCCCGGAGAUAUCUGUAUGCUUUCUGUAUGCGCUCAGCUUUUUCACAGAGAAAUCGACACCACCCGUGUCACCUAAAGUCACAAGCAGUCAUCAGAGACAAACGCUUUAAAAAUACGCAAGUGUUUUUUCAACCUAAUAUCCAUCUCCAGCAGCUGUAGCAUGUGAUUACUGAAAAGACAAAAUGUCGACACAUUUCACUGCACUGACGAAAAAAAAAAGAACUGAAAACUGUUGACUCAAAAUAGUAAUAAUGGAAGGCUAUUAUAAGAAACUGCAAAUGUUGGGCUGUAGCAUACCAAAAGGUAUAGUGUUUUAUCUUUAACGUUCCAACACAGGUGCAAUUCAGUAAAAGGUCAUACAGGUUAA